rnacentral:rRNA from 1 species
UACGGGGGGGGCAAGCGUUAUUCGGAAUUACUGGGCGUAAAGGGCUCGUAGGCGGCCAACUAAGUCAGACGUGAAAUCCCUCGGCUUAACCGGGGAACUGCGUCUGAUACUGGAUGGCUUGAGUUUGGGAGAGGGAUGCGGAAUUCCAGGUGUAGCGGUGAAAUGCGUAGAUAUCUGGAGGAACACCGGUGGCGAAGGCGGCAUCCUGGACCGACACUGACGCUGAGGAGCGAAAGCCAGGGGAGCAAACGGG